rnacentral:rRNA from 1 species
CUACGGGCCGCACCAGUGGGGAAUAUUGCACAAUGGGUGCAAGCCUGAUGCAGCCAUGCCGCGUGUAUGAAGAAGGCCUUCGGGUUGUAAAGUACUUUCAGCGGGGAGGAAGGGAGUAAAGUUAAUACCUUUGCUCAUUGACGUUACCCGCAGAAGAAGCACCGGCUAACUCCGUGCCAGCAGCCGCGGUAAUACGGAGGGUGCAAGCGUUAAUCGGAAUUACUGGGCGUAAAGCGCACGCAGGCGGUUUGUUAAGUCAGAUGUGAAAUCCCCGGGCUCAACCUGGGAACUGCAUCUGAUACUGGCAAGCUUGAGUCUCGUAGAGGGGGGUAGAAUUCCAGGUGUAGCGGUGAAAUGCGUAGAGAUCUGGAGGAAUACCGGUGGCGAAGGCGGCCCCCUGGACGAAGACUGACGCUCAGGUGCGAAAGCGUGGGGAGCAAACAGGAUUAGAUACCCUCGUAGUC